rnacentral:rRNA from 1 species
AGAUUGAACGCUGGCGGCGUGCUUAACACAUGCAAGUCGAGCGGUAACGCGGGAGCAAUCCUGGCGACGAGCGGCGAACGGGUGAGUAAUGCUUGGGAAUCUGCCCAUUAGUGGGGAACAACCAGCCGAAAGGUUGGCUAAUACCGCAUACGCCCUACGGGGGAAAGCGGGGGAUCGAAAGACCUCGCGCUAAUGGAUGAGCCCAAGUCGGAUUAGCUUGUUGGUAGGGUAACGGCCUACCAAGGCGACAAUCCGUAGCUGGUCUGAGAGGACGACCAGCCACACUGGGACUGAGACACGGCCCAGACUCCUACGGGAGGCAGCAGUGGGGAAUAUUGGACAAUGGGGGCAACCCUGAUCCAGCGACGCCGCGUGUGUGAAGAAGGCCUGCGGGUUGUAAAGCACUUUUAGUGGGGAUGAAAAGCUCAGGGUUAACACCUCUGGGUCUUGACCUAACCACAGAAAAGCACCGGCUAACUCUGUGCCAGCAGCCGC